GACGAACGCUGGCGGCGUGCUUAACACAUGCAAGUCGAACGGAAAGGCCCUGCUUUGGUGGGGUGCUCGAGUGGCGAACGGGUGAGUAACACGUGAGUAACCUGCCCUUGACUUUGGGAUAACUUCAGGAAACUGGGGCUAAUACCGGAUAGGAGCUCCUGCUGCAUGGUGGGGGUUGGAAAGUUUCGGCGGUUGGGGAUGGACUCGCGGUUUAUCAGCUUGUUGGUGGGGUAGUGGCUUACCAAGGCUUUGACGGGUAGCCGGCCUGAGAGGGUGACCGGCCACAUUGGGAAUGAGAGACGGCACAGACGCCGACGGGAGGCAGCAGGGGGGAAUGUGGCACAAUGGGCGGAAGCCUGAUGCCGCAACGCCGCGUGCGGGAUGAAGGCCUGCGGGUUGUAAACCGAUUUCAGCAGGGGCGAAGCUGGUGGUGACGGGACCUGCAGAAGAAGCAACGGCUAACCACGUG
rnacentral:rRNA from 1 species